GAGGGGAUUCUUUGAUAUUAGAUUCCUCGCCGGAGACCCGACCACAAUAUCAACCUCCAGGUCAACACAGUGCGGCACAUCGGGGUGUGCGUCUCCUGUUAAGGAACGUGCACGUUAUGUACGACGGGCAGCGCCGAUGUGAAGGUGGAUACAUCGGCGUGAGCGUCUGAGGACCGCCGGUCAGAACGCUGGGCGACGACGACGGAACGUACCCCUCGCAGAACCAACCACUGCUGGUGGAACCGGCCCUGAAACGAACCGCAAGCAACAGCGUCGCGAGAACGCACGUAUGGAUGAUUAGAGCGACGCACGGCCCACCGGUUAGUGUCCAUACACCAACCGGCUGGGUCCUGAAGGGCCCACCCCGCCCUCGCCCCCUCGACCCCUGCUCCGGGUUCAUGGCCAACUCCGCGGGUCGGGAAAGUGACGCGCUAAUGAGAGUAAAUGAUUCAGCAGCAGCCUGGGGGAUAAGUGGAGACACUAAUGUUCCUACGAG